rnacentral:rRNA from 1 species
CUACGGGCGGCACCAGUGAGGAAUAUUGCACAAUGGGGGGAACCCUGAUGCAGCAACGCCGCGUGGAGGAUGACGCAUUUCGGUGUGUAAACUCCUUUUAUAUGUCAAGAAAAUGACGGUAGCAUAUGAAUAAGCACUGGCUAACUCCGUGCCAGCAGCCGCGGUAAUACGGAGGGUGCAAGCGUUACUCGGAAUCACUGGGCGUAAAGGACGCGUAGGCGGGUUGGAAAGUCAGGUGUGAAAUCCUACAGCUUAACUGUAGAACUGCACUUGAAACUUCUAAUCUAGAGUAUGGGAGGGGGAGAUGGAAUUAGUGGUGUAGGGGUAAAAUCCGUAGAUAUCACUAGGAAUACCUAAAGCGAAGGCGAUCUCCUGGAACAUUACCGACGCUAAGGCGUGAAAGCGUGGGGAGCAAACAGGAUUAGAUACCCCGGUAGUC